UACGUAGGCAGCGAGCGUUGUUCGGAGUUACUGGGCGUAAAGCGUGCGUAGGCGGUGUUCCAAGUCUGUUGUGAAAUCUCCCGGCUUAACUGGGAGGGUGCGGCGGAAACUGGAACGCUGGAGUAUGGGAGAGGUGAGCGGAAUUCCAGGUGUAGCGGUGAAAUGCGUAGAUAUCUGGAGGAACACCGGUGGCGAAGGCGGCAUCCUGGACCAAUAUUGACGCUGAGGAGCGAAAGCCAGGGGAGCAAACGGG
rnacentral:rRNA from 1 species